UUAAAUUUUAUUAAUGCACUUAUUUUAUUUUUAAUAUAUUUCACAUUUUCUUAAUACAUUUCACAUUUUUUGUAUCAAGAUCAUGAAGAAGUUGAAAGGACUUUUAAAGUUCGUUUUGCUUUGGUGACAAAGUCUUCUAAUAACAACUCUGUUGUUGUGGAACCCGAAGCAAAAUCGAAAUCGAUAUCAAAAUUGCCUUCUGGUGAUACCAAGGUUGUUGCUAUGAAUAAUCAUGGCAAGAGCAGUAUUUGAAUUGGAGAAAUUAUGAAUUUAUGUAUAAUUUAUGCCUCAACGGAACCUUGACAGUAGGGGUGUUCGAAUUCAAACCGAUACAAAUAAAAACCA
rnacentral:lncRNA from 1 species